rnacentral:rRNA from 1 species
AGUGAACGCUGGCGGUAGGCCUAACACAUGCAAGUCGAACGGCAGCACAGUAAGAGCUUGCUCUUACGGGUGGCGAGUGGCGGACGGGUGAGGAAUACAUCGGAAUCUACUUUUUCGUGGGGGAUAACGUAGGGAAACUUACGCUAAUACCGCAUACGACCUACGGGUGAAAGCAGGGGAUCUUCGGACCUUGCGCGAUUGAAUGAGCCGAUGUCGGAUUAGCUAGUUGGCGGGGUAAAGGCCCACCAAGGCGACGAUCCGUAGCUGGUCUGAGAGGAUGAUCAGCCACACUGGAACUGAGACACAGUCCAGACUCCUACGGGAGGCAGCAGUGGGGAAUAUUGGACAAUGGGCGCUAGCCUGAUCCAGCCAUACCGCGUGGGUGAAGAAGGCCUUCGGGUUGUAAAGCCCUUUUGUUGGGAAAGAAAAGCAGCAGGUUAAUACCCCGCUGUUCUGACGGUACCCAAAGAAUAAGCACCGGCUAACUUCGUG